rnacentral:lncRNA from 1 species
GGGGUUCAAACAACCACGCCAUGUCCAGACAUUGCCCACGGAGGUCCGUCAUGGCGGUUUUCUGUCAGGUACUUCCAAAGGCUUGCUGAGACAUUCUCUGGAGUGGCCAUUCUACAGACACGAUAGCUUUUAUCUGUGACUCAGCCUCUUUGCUUGGUCUCAUGAGCCUCCAAGGGUGAUUUUGAAGUUCUAAAUCUCCUGCUACCAAGUGCUGGGAUUGCAGGCAUGCACCACCAAAUCCAGUUUAUUCAGCGGUAAGGAUUGAAAACAAGGCUUCACACAUGCUAGAGCAAGGACGGCGAUCACGACAACGACACGACAACAAUGACACACACGCGCGCUCGAGACCCCCAUCUCUAUGACAGUCUUUCAUAUCUUACUUCAGGAAGAUGUUUAUCUUGGUUUGUUUCCCCGAAGGAAAGCUGAGACCCAGAAGCAAGGCCCUUCAUUGAGAGCACCCGAGAAAGAAGUCAA